CCUAUUGGYUGGCUGGCGAGUGGAAGGAGCUGCUACAGUGUGAGUAGGCGGAGCUUGUCGUGGGGCGACGCCCAGCAAACCUGUAUAGGCAUGGCUUCAGGAGGACACCUGGUGGAUGUUAAAACAGAGAGAGACCUCCUCCUCCUCUCCUCUCACCUGACUACACACAACAACCUACUACUGCUCUGGACUGCUCUCAACGACAGACUGGAUGAGGGGCUGCCCCGCUGGUCUGAUGGCUCCUCCUACAACCUGACGAGUGCUAUGACAUCCUCAUCACUGCCAGCCAAUCAGACGGACUGUUUUGCUCUACAGAGGAACACUACUGGACUAGGCUACUUCCUGACUUCGUUCUUUUGCCACAUUCCUUUACCCUUUAUCUGUCACUGGGAAAUCCCUCUCCCCCUCUUUAUUCAACUUUGGACCUGGGUGGAGGUAACAGAGAGAGAUGCAGAGCUUCACUGGAGUGACCUCACAUUUGUAAACUCCUCUCACCCUGCCCCCCAGCUCUAUGUCCAAUACCAAGAAAAGGA